rnacentral:misc_RNA from 1 species
GAUGAAGAACGUAGCGAAAUGCGAUAAGUAGUGUGAAUUGCAGAAUUCAGUGAAUCAUCGAAUCUUUGAACGCACAUUGCGCCCUUUGGUAUUCCUUAGGGCAUGCCUGUUCGAGCGUCAUUUAAACCUUCAAGCUAAGCUUGGUGUUGGGUGACUGUCCGCUUCACGGCGGACUCGCCUCAAAAUUUUUGGCGGCCGGUACAUUGGCUUCGAGCGCAGCAGAAACGCGAACUCGGGCCCGUCGUAUUGGCUCCCAGAAGCUAUCUUCACAAUUUUGACCUCGGAUCAGGUAGGGAUACCCGCUGAACUUAAGCAUAUCAAUAAGCGGAGGA